rnacentral:rRNA from 1 species
CCUACGGGGGGCAGCAGUGGGGGAUAUUGCACAAUGGGGGAAACCCUGAUGCAGCGACGCCGCGUGUGGGAAGACGGUCCUCUGGAUUGUAAACCACUGUCCCCAGGGACGAAGAUGACGGUACCUGGGGAGGAAGCUCCGGCUAACUACGUGCCAGCAGCCGCGGUAAUACGUAGGGAGCGAGCGUUGUCCGGAAUUACUGGGUGUAACGGGAGCGUAGGCGGGACUGCAAGUUGGGGGUCAAAUCUACCGGCUCAACCGGUAGCCGCACUCAAAACUGCAGUUCUUGAGUGAAGUAGAGGCAGGCGGAAUUCCUAGUGUAGCGGUGAAAUGCGUAGAUAUUAGGAGGAACACCAGUGGCGAAGGCGGCCUGCUGGGCUUUUACUGACGCUGAGGCUCGAAAGUGUGGGGAGCAAACAGGAUUAGAUACCCCUGUAGUC